GACGAACGCUGGCGGCGUGCUUAACACAUGCAGGUCGAACGGAAAGGCCCUGCUUUUGUGGGGUGCUCGAGUGGCGAACGGGUGAGUAACACGUGAGUAACCUGCCCUUGACUUUGGGAUAACUUCAGGAAACUGGGGCUAAUACCGGAUAGGAGCUCCUGCUGCAUGGUGGGGGUUGGAAAGUUUCGGCGGUUGGGGAUGGACUCGCGGCUUAUCAGCUUGUUGGUGGGGUAGUGGCUUACCAAGGCUUUGACGGGUAGCCGGCCUGAGAGGGUGACCGGCCAAAUUGGGACCGAGAUACGGCCCAGACUCCUACGGGAGGCAGCAGUGGGGAAUAUUGCAACAUGGGCGGAAGCCUGAUGCAGCAACGCCGCGUGCGGGAUGACGGCCUUCGGGUUGUAAACCGCUUUCGCCUGUGACGAAGCGUGAGUGACGGUAAUGGGUAAAGAAGCACCGGCUAACUACGUG
rnacentral:rRNA from 1 species